rnacentral:rRNA from 1 species
AACGAACGCUGGCGGCAUGCCUAACACAUGCCAGUCGAACGAGACCUUCGGGUCUAGUGGCGCACGGGUGCGUAACGCGUGGGAACCUGCCCUUAGGUUCGGAAUAACUCCCCGAAAGGGGUGCUAAUACCGGAUAAUGUCUUCGGACCAAAGAUUUAUCGCCUUUGGAUGGGCCCGCGUUGGAUUAGCUAGUUGGUAGGGUAAAAGCCUACCAAGGCAACGAUCCAUAGCUGGUCUGAGAGGAUGAUCAGCCACACUGGGACUGAGACACGGCCCAGACUCCUACGGGAGGCAGCAGUGGGGAAUAUUGGACAAUGGGCGAAAGCCUGAUCCAGCAAUGCCGCGUGAGUGAUGAAGGCCUUAGGGUUGUAAAGCUCUUUUACCCGGGAUGAUAAUGACAGUACCGGGAGAAUAAGCGCCGGCUAACUCCGUG